GGCGCUUUCGUCUAUCGGUUAGGACUUCGGAUUCUCAUUCCGGCAAGACGGGUUCGACUCCCGUAAGCGCUA
rnacentral:tRNA from 1 species